rnacentral:lncRNA from 1 species
AUGGAAGCUACCAGAGGAGAUUUGGAUUCGGGGAGAGAUGAAGAGUAUGGAUGAGUUGAAGCUUUUAAUAGUUUGAUGGUGGUGGACUACUACACAAUCGACGUCUCCGACUCUUGGGUUUUGGCGUUUGGCGUUUGGCAUUUUUUUCUAUCAAGACGUUUGACUUUAGAUUGAAACAAAACUCGAAAUUACUUCUUCUU